UACAGUGACCAGGAUUCGAAAAUGGAUUAUUGCGGCCACAACGCAAUGUCCUAACCACUAGACGAUCACGGC
rnacentral:tRNA from 1 species